AUUGAACGCUAGCGGGAGGCUUAACACAUGCAAGUCGAACGAGUGGCGGACGGGUGAGUAAUGUAUGGGAAACUGCCCGAUGGAGGGGGAUAACUACUGGAAACGGUAGCUAAUACCGCAUACCAUCGGAUGUGCCCAGAUGGGAUUAGCUAGUAGGUGGGGUAAAGGCUCACCUAGGCAACGAUCCCUAGCUGGUCUGAGAGGAUGACCAGCCACACUGGAACUGAGACACGGCCCAGACUCCUACGGGAGGCAGCAGUGGGGAAUAUUGGACAAUGGGCGAAACCCUGAUGCAGCCAUGCCGCGUGUAUGAUGAAGGCCUUCGGGUUGUAAAGUACUUUCAGCGGGGAGGCGGUACCCGCAGAAGAAGCACCGGCUAACUCCGUGCCAGCAGCCGCGGUAAUUC
rnacentral:rRNA from 1 species